GAUGAACGCUGGCGGCGUGCCUAAUACAUGCAAGUCGAGCGAACAGACGAGGAGCUUGUUCCUCUGACGUUAGCGGCGGACGGGUGAGUAACACGUGGAUAACCUACCUAUAAGACUGGGAUAACUUCGGGAAACCGGAGCUAAUACCGGAUAAUAUAUUGAACCGCAUGGUUCAAUAGUGAAAGACGGUUUUCCUGUCACUUAUAGAUGGAUCCGCGCCGCAUUAGCUAGUUGGUAAGGUAACGGCUUACCAAGGCAACGAUGCGUAGCCGACCUGAGAGGGUGAUCGGCCACACUGGAACUGAGACACGGUCCAGACUCCUACGGGAGGCAGCAGUAGGGAAUCUUCCGCAAUGGGCGAAAGCCUGACGGAGCAACGCCGCGUGAGUGAUGAAGGUCUUCGGAUCGUAAAACUCUGUUAUUAGGGAAGAACAAAUGUGUAAGUAACUAUGCACGUCUUGACGGUACCUAAUCAGAAAGCCACGGCUAACUACGUG
rnacentral:rRNA from 1 species